CAGCCGCCGCGGGAAUACGAAGGGGGCUAGCGUUGUUCGGAUUUACUGGGCGUAAAGCGCACGUAGGCGGACUUUUAAGUCAGGGGUGAAAUCCCGGGGCUCAACCCCGGAACUGCCUUUGAUACUGGAAGUCUUGAGUAUGGUAGAGGUGAGUGGAAUUCCGAGUGUAGAGGUGAAAUUCGUAGAUAUUCGGAGGAACACCAGUGGCGAAGGCGGCUCACUGGACCAUUACUGACGCUGAGGUGCGAAAGCGUGGGGAGCAAACAGGAUUAGAUACCCCCGUAGUCCCUGUCUCUUAUAA
rnacentral:rRNA from 1 species